ACAUGAGAGACAUAAUAAGUUAUCAACAGUAGAAUCUCCAGAGCUCAAGACGUUAUUGGCUAAAACCAUCAGCAAAGAUGACGUUGAGGGCACCUUCAAACUGACAAUCAUAGGCGCCAUGCCAACAUUUAUGCUGGAAAGAAAAUUUCAGAAUGAAGACAUGAGCUUGACCAGAUUGGAUGCUUUUGAGGACAGUUUUCCAGAGCAUGCUACAGAAAUGGUAAACACAUGGUUCAAACUCCUGGAAAGCAAAACAGAUCUCAUGAACCAGGACACUGCAGAAAGACUCAGACACUGGAUCAACACUGAAGGAUACCUUGAUCCAAAUGAUCCCUACCGGAAACAAGUCACCAUGUAAAAAGUGGGAGUGGCCACACAUGAGCGGGGGACUGGCCAGACUAUGUUAAAGGCCAGAUGAACUGCAGAUGAGUGGCUCUACAGGAAGAGUCUCCUCUUCCCUUCCUUCCUUUUGUUGACCUGCCUACAUCUGAUCAGCUGUGAUAUGUAGUGUUUAAAAAUGGCUGAAAUACA